rnacentral:rRNA from 1 species
CUUGGUCAUUUAGAGGAAGUAAAAGUCGUAACAAGGUUUCCGUAGGUGAACCUGCGGAAGGAUCAUUAUUGAAAUAAACCUGAUGGGUUGUUGCUGGUUCUCCAGGGAGCAUGUGCACACCUUGUCAUCUUUAUAUCUCCACCUGUGCACUUUUUGUAGACCUUUUUCAGGUCUAUGUUGCUUCAUUUUACCCCAAUGUAUGUUAAUAGAAUGUUGUACCUAUAUAAUAUAUACAACUUUCAGCAACGGAUCUCUUGGCUCUCGCAUCGAUGAAGAACGCAGCGAAAUGCGAUAAGUAAUGUGAAUUGCAGAAUUCAGUGAAUCAUCGAAUCUUUGAACGCACCUUGCGCUCCUUGGUAUUCCGAGGAGCAUGCCUGUUUGAGUGUCAUUAAUAUAUAUCAACCCUCUCUCUUGUAGUGAGUGGUUUGGAUGUGGGGGCUUUGCUGGCCUCUUGAAAAAAGGGCUCAGCUCUCCUGAAAUGCAUUAGCAGAACAAACCUGUUCAUUGGUGUGAUAACUAUCUGCGCCAUUGAAUGUGAGGGGCAGUUCAGCUUUCUAACAGUCCUUUGUUGGACAAUUCAUCAUUAAUGUGACCUCAAAUCAGGUAGGACUACCCGCUGAACUUAAGCAUAUCAAUAAGCGGAGGA